rnacentral:rRNA from 1 species
AACGAACGCUGGCGGCAGGCUUAACACAUGCAAGUCGAACGAUCCCUUCGGGGAUAGUGGCGGACGGGUGAGUAACGUGUGGGAACAUGCCCUUGGGUAGGGAACAACCACUGGAAACGGUGGCUAAUGCCUUAUGAUGUCUACGGACCAAAGAUUUAUCGCCCAGGGAUUGGCCCGCAUUGGAUUAGCUAGUUGGAGAGGUAACGGCUCACCAAGGCGACGAUCCAUAGCUGGUUUGAGAGGAUGAUCAGCCACACUGGGACUGAGACACGGCCCAG